UAGUUUCUCUGAGAAGACAGAUCUGAAGAAAAUUCAAGAAAAUGAGAAAAUAGAUCUAAAUAAGCUCCAAACCCAGCUGUGGCUCAGGACCCGUGGAUGCAGCCCCAGUUUCUUCCCACACCUCAUGGAUUCAGUCUGGAGAAAAGGCUGCCUGGCCAUGACAAACUGACCGUUGGCUCCGUGAUUUGUGUGGAGUUGAAUACAUUGGUUAACUGCAAGCAGUAUGUUCUGAAGAUGAUGGUGUUCAGACAAAUACCCAAUUUGAUUCUGAUAAAUUGGAUGCAAGACUUUGACCAGCGUGAGAAGAACAGGCAUUAUGGAAGCAGGCAGCAUCCCAGACCUGUGGAGAAGCUCAGCAGGAGAACAAGUGGGGGAAAAUAUUCCCAAUGUCAUGCUGCUGCUGGUGGCUCAGGCACAGGAACAGGGGCCUGUGGUGGUCCAGCUCUUUGGAAAGUUUUGUACAGAAACCAGGAGGAUCUAAGAGCUGGAGCUAAUCCGUGAGAAAACAGCACCACCAGCAACAACAAUUUGCUCUAGACCAGAAAGAAGGUGGAAGAGGUGGGACUAAGAAGGACUUUCUCUUUCAAAAGAAGAAAUGUUGCUUUCCAGGCACCUGUAUGCUGAAAUUGAUUGAAAUGCAGCUUUCAUGCGGCCUGAUAACUGUUCCUCACUGGAGGAAGAACCUUGGAUAAAUGGAAUUUGCUCUGCCUUGCUCAGUGAGGCCACCUCAGAGCGCUGGUGCUUGUGUGAAUUGAAGAAAUAUUUGGAAACUGAGGUGGUUGUUACCUUUCUGUGCCUGGGUGUUCAAAGAGUGUUUCUGGCCAACACCUAAAAUUCAGUUUCCAAGGCCGGAGGCAGCAAAAGGCAAGUUUUGUAAAGACAAAAUGAGACCAAUGGAAAGAAAUUUCCUCCCAGCACAUUGGGAACCCUUCUCAACAAUAAAAACCACCAAAGGAACCACAAUGUUUGUGGAUUUUGUAGCUCCUUGUUCAGUCCAAAUACGAGGCAACCUUUCCCCUGGAUUUAUGGAGUUUAACACUGCAGGGAGUUUGGGAUCUUCACAAACUAUAACCAGAUUUUACUGGUGCCAAAUCUUUUGUGAUCCAAGCUCAUUUGUGGUGGGAAUGGGCUCAAGGUAAGGUCAUGAGGAAUUAUAUUGUUUCUUUCUUUCCCUUGUAUGGAAUUCUCAAAAGCCAGUUGCUGACUGGGUUGGUAAAUCACAUCCUGCAUAAAUAUAUUGAUAAAUACCAAUAUAUCUUCAGCUAAGAAGAAUCAGAGAUGUCCCAAGGAGGAAAAAUUAACUCCUUUUCCACCUCUGUUUGCAUUGAAGAUGUUUCUUGUUUCAAAGACUUUUCCCUUAGAAUAACUGUUUGCAAGCCCUGUGAAAAGCCAGGUAAUAUCCUUAUAUAUCCUUCGUCCUGUCCCAGGUCCAUGUUUUAAGAUCAGUGUCUCAGGUAUAACCAGUUCUUCCAAACAUCACCUUUUACUCUUUUUGACCUUAAAUGUUAAUGUACUCUCCUUGCUUUAUUUUCAGAAAUUCUGUUUAUUAUUUGAAAUGAACAUGCAGCAAUAGAAGUUUUCUCUAAAUUAAGCAAAAACUCAAUCUUUUACAUAUAUUUUCUCAUGUAAUUGUUAUCAGGUUGGUAAAAGGAAUCUGAUUUUCAGUAGAGAAGCAGAAUUUUCUUUAUUUUUGUUUAAUCUGUAGGGAUUUUCCAUGUUUUAUAAAAGCUGCAGGUACAGGUAAAGAUAAGGAAAGAGGAGGGCAGGUAUUGGUGUGCUCACUGAGUAGCUGAUUUAGAGAAAUGGGGGUCCCCUGGGCCUGACUUGCAACCAAAUGACCAAAACACUUUGCCUUUUAUUUAUUUAUCCAGCUACUUAACACUUCUUACCGUUUCUCUUAAAUGAAUUAAUUUACCCUACAAAGCACUCCUUGCAAUAAUCAAUGACUCAUUACACUGAAAGCCCGCAGGAAAUACUAAUUAAAUGAAAAAUGUGCAGGAGGAAUGUGCAACUUUUGUAUUUCCAACGGCCCAGAUACUCAGUGCUCUCUUUUUUUUCCUAAAUCCUCAUAAGUUACAGGAGAGGUUUUUGCCUUCAGCCACAGGGAGCUGCAGUGGCUUGGAGGGUGGUGAUAUUUCCCAGACAUACCAAAUCCAGUUCAUUUAUCAUCAAUAUCCACAGGAAAUAAUAAUCUGUUUAUACAUCACAUUUCUUUGAGCUCUGCGACGUUCUAGUCAUGAAUUCCUUCCAGCUGCUUUUCUCGUUCCCACAGCAGAAUUGCUUGGGAAGGGUUAUCCCUUACCCAGCACUUACUUCAACAAUUAUUGACUGAUAGCCACUGGUAAUUCCAGCUCUCCAACAAUCCUUGAUAAAGAUUUUGUGCUGUUGUUAUGCUCUCAAAUGUUUCCUCACCCAUAAAGGCCUCGAACUCCAGGUUGGGUAGUUCACACAGCCACCUUUUUGGGAUCUUUGAAUAGGAAGAGCUUAAUAAUAUGGAAAUAAUAUGGAAGAUGAAGUUUUUAUAAGGAUAGAAAUGCUGAAAGUGAGAGUGGGUUCAAAACUCCUGCUUCCUUGCUGUGUCCUGCUCCCUUUGGUGAGGGAUUUCUGGAGCAAUCGAGGUUUCUUUUAUCCUUGGUCAGUGAUUUUUGGAGAAAGUGUGUUAAGACAAGCCAUGAAAUAAAGCAAUCAGAGCAAGGUAAAGCAAAAUCCCCCAAAACCACCACCAGCAUAAAAAAAACCC
ensembl:lncRNA